rnacentral:tRNA from 1 species
GAUUCCUUAACUUAAUGGUAAAGUGUAUUUUUUGAUAAGAAUAAAAUAGUGUUCAAUUCACUGAGGAAUUA